GAUGAAGAAACGUAGCGAAAUGCGAUACGUAAUGUGAAUUGCAAAUUCAGUGAAUCAUCGAGUCUUUGAACGCACAUUGCGCCCCCUGGUAUUCCGGGGGGCAUGCCUGUCCGAGCGUCAUUGCUGCCCUCAAGCACGGCUUGUGUGUUGGGCCUCCGUCCUCCUCCCGGGGGACGGGCCCGAAAGGCAGCGGCGGCACCGCGUCCGGUCCUCGAGCGUAUGGGGCUUCGUCACCCGCUCUUGUAGGCCCGGCCGGCGCUUGCCGACACAUCAAUCUUUUUUCCAGGUUGACCUCGGAUCAGGUAGGGAUACCCGCUGAACUUAAGCAUAUCAAUAAGCGGAGGA
rnacentral:misc_RNA from 1 species